rnacentral:rRNA from 1 species
UACAGAGGGCUCAAGCGUUGCUCGGAAUCAUUGGGCGUAAAGGGCGCGUAGGCGGCGCUGUAAGUCGGGUGUGAAAUUUCGGAGCUUAACUCCGAAACUGCAUUCGAUACUGCGGUGCUUGAGGACUGGAGAGGAGACUGGAAUUCAUGGUGUAGCAGUGAAAUGCGUAGAGAUCAUGAGGAAGACCAGUGGCGAAGGCGGGUCUCUGGACAGUUCCUGACGCUGAGGCACGAAGGCCAGGGGAGCAAACGGG